GGCCAGACUCCUACGGGAGGCAGCAGUGGGGAAUAUUGGGCAAUGGGCGCAAGCCUGACCCAGCAACGCCGCGUGAAGGAAGAAGGCCCUCGGGUUGUAAACUUCUUUUAUCAGGGACGAAACAAAUGACGGUACCCAAGGAAUAAGCCCCGGCUAACUACGUGCCAGCAGCCGCGGUAAUACGUAGGGGGCAAGCGUUGUUCGGAAUGACUGGGCGUAAAGGGUGCGUAGGCGGUGUAGCAAGUUAGAAGUGAAAUACCUAGAGCUUAACUCAGGUGCUGCUUCUAAAACUGCUAUACUUGAGUGCAGUAGAGGAAAGUGGAAUUCCUAGUGUAGCGGUGGAAUGCGUAGAUAUUAGGAGGAACACCAGUGGCGAAGGCGACUUUCUGGACUGUACCUGACGCUGAGGCGCGAAAGCGUGGGUAGCGAACGGGAUUAGAUACCCCUGUA
rnacentral:rRNA from 1 species